rnacentral:misc_RNA from 1 species
AAGUCGUAACAAGGUUUCCGUAGGUGAACCUGCGGAAGGAUCAUUACCGAGAUAGGGUGCCGGCCUAAACCCCCGGCGCCCGACCUCCAACCCUGUGUCUACAUUACCACUGUUGCCUCGGCGGGCCGUCGAAAGUCUAGCGAUAGGCCCAGCCGUCGGCCCCUCAACAAGGGGCCCCCGAGCGCCCGUCGAAGGACCUUAUUAACCCAAUUUGAAACGAGCCUUCUGAGUAAAUUUUAAUACUUCAAAA